GCUGAAGUAGCUCAGCUGGGAGAGCGUUAGACUGAAGAUCUAAAGGUCCCUGGUUCAAUCCCGGGCUUCAGCA
rfam:Opisthocomus hoazin contig55922, whole genome shotgun sequence.